rnacentral:tmRNA from 1 species
GGGGAUGUUUUUGGUUUUGACAGCAAGGUUAGAUUGAAAUGUAAGCACGUCGAGCGUUGUGAUUUAGCUCGUUAAUCUCAGGUCUCAAGCCAUUAAUUGGCAACAACAACUAUGCUCUCGCAGCCUGAUUUACACCAAGUGUAACGGCUUAAUCCGACGACCCAAGGCUGGUCGUUGGACGAGAAUCUCGCAAAAGACCCGCCUUUCGGUAUUUUGAUUUUGAGGUUUCAUACAUAGGAAGGAUAGUGUGCGCGACACCUUUAAACGUACGCAAAAAUUUCAAAGGCUAAGGAUAAAACCGAUGGCUUCUUAUCAUGUUUUAUCCCGACAAAAUGAAAAGAAGAUAAACGCGUAGAAAACAUUUGGUCACUUGUUUGGACGCGAGUUCGACUCUCGCCAUCUCCACGA